rnacentral:rRNA from 1 species
AUUGAACGCUGGCGGCCGGCCUAACACAUGCAAGUCGAACGAGUGGCGGACUGGUUAGUAAUGUCUGGGAAACUGCCUGAUGGAUGGGGCUCACUACUGGAAACUGUAUCUAAUACCGCAUCCCAUCGGAUGUGCCCAGAUGGGAUUAGCUAGUAGGUGGGGUAAAGGCUCACCUAGGCGACGCUCCCUAGCUGGUCUGAGAGGAUGACCAGCCACACUGGAACUGAGACACGGUCCAGACUCCUACGGGAGGCAGCAGUGGGGAAUAUUGCACAAUGGGCGCAAGCCUGAUGCAGCCAUGCCGCGUGUAUGAAGAAGGCAUUCGGGUUGUAAAGUACGUGCAGCGGGGAGGCGUUACCCGCAGAAGAAGCACCGGCUAACUCCGUGCCAGCAGCCGCGGUAAUGC